UAAAUGCGAUACUUGGUGUGAAUUGCAGAAUCCCGUGAACCAUCGAGUCUUUGAACGCAAGUUGCGCCCGAAGCCAUUAGGCCGAGGGCACGUCUGCCUGGGCGUCACGCAUCGCGUCGCCCCCCCGCACAUCGAUCGAAUGUGGACGGGGGAGCGGAUACUGGCCUCCCGUGCCCCAUCGCGCGGGCGCGGUUGGCUCAAAACGGAGUCCCCUGCGGAGGACGCACGACGAGUGGUGGUUUAUAACUAGGCCUUCGCGUCCCGUCGUGUCCUGCGCCGGUGCUGGCUCGAGCGACCCUAAUGCGCCUCACGGUGCUUCGACCGCGACCCCAGGUCAGGCGGGACUACC
rnacentral:rRNA from 1 species